rnacentral:rRNA from 1 species
GACAGAGGGUGCAAACGUUGUUCGGAAUUACUGGGCGUAAAGCGCGUGUAGGCGGCUACAUAAGUCGGGCGUGAAAUCCCACGGCUCAACCGUGGAAGUGCACUCGAAACUGCGUAGCUAGAGUCCUGGAGAGGAAGGUGGAAUGCUUGGUGUAGAGGUGAAAUUCGUAGAUAUCAAGCGGAACACCGGUGGCGAAGGCGGCCUUCUGGACAGUGACUGACGCUGAGACGCGAAAGCGUGGGGAGCAAACAGG